CUCUAAAAAACAAUCGCAGUUCAGAUUGCAGGCUGCAACUCGCCUGCAUGAAGUCGGAAUUGCUAGUAAUCGUAGGUCAGCAUACUACGGUGAAUACGUUCCCGGGCCUUGUACACACCGCCCGUCAAACCAUGAGAGUCGGGAACACCCGAAGUCCGUAGCCUAACCGCAAGGGGGCGCGGCCGAAGGUGGGUUCGAUAAUUGGGGUGAAGUCGUAACAAGGUAGC
rnacentral:rRNA from 1 species